UAGGGAAUCUUCGGCAAUGGACGAAAGUCUGACCGAGCAACGCCGCGUGAGUGAAGAAGGUUUUCGGAUCGUAAAACUCUGUUGUUAGAGAAGAACAAGGACGUUAGUAACUGAACGUCCCCUGACGGUAUCUAACCAGAAAGCCACGGCUAACUACGUGCCAGCAGCCGCGGUAAUACGUAGGUGGCAAGCGUUGUCCGGAUUUAUUGGGCGUAAAGCGAGCGCAGGCGGUUUCUUAAGUCUGAUGUGAAAGCCCCCGGCUCAACCUGGGAGGGUCAUUGGAAACUGGGAGACUUGAGUGCAGAAGAGGAGAGUGGAAUUCCAUGUGUAGCGGUGAAAUGCGUAGAUAUAUGGAGGAACACCAGUGGCGAAGGCGGCUCUCUGGUCUGUAACUGACGCUGAGGCUCGAAAGCGUGGGGAGCAAACAGG
rnacentral:rRNA from 1 species